ACUGCUAUCGGAUUGAUACUAAGCCAUGCGAGUCUUUGUAGCAAUACAAGGCAGACGGCUCAGUAACACGUAGUCAAUCUACCCUAUGGACGGGGAUAACCUCGGGAAACUGAGAAUAAUACUCGAUAGAUCAUAGCUCCUGGAAUGGUUUAUGGUCAAAAUGAUUUAUCGCCGUAGGAUGGGACUGCGGCCUAUCAGUUUGUUGGUGGGGUAAUGGCCCACCAAGACAAUUACAGGUACGGGCUCUGAGAGGAGUGGCCCGGAGAUGGGUACUGAGAAACGGACCCAGGCCCUAUGGGGCGCAGCAGGCGAGAAAACUUUGCAAUGUGCGAAAGCACGACAAGGUUAAUCCGAGUGAUUUCUGCUAAAGAAAUCUUUUGUCGGUCGUAGAAUCACCGAUGAAUAAGGGGUGGGCAAGUUCUGGUGUCAGCCGCCGCGGUAAAACCAGCACCUCAAGUGGUCAGGAGGGUUAUUGGGCCUAAAGCAUCCGUAGCCUGUUGUAUCAGUUUUCGGUUAAAUCUAUACGCUCAACGUAUGGGCUGCCGGGAAUACUGUACAGCUAGGGAGUGGGAGAGGUAGACGGUACUCGGUAGGAAGGGGUAAAAUCCUUUGAUCUAUUGAUGACCACCUGUGGCGAAAGCGGUCUACCAGAACACGUCCGACGGUGAGGGAUGAAAGCUGGGGGAGCAAACCGGAUUAGAUACCCGGGUAGUCCCAGCUGUAAACAAUGCAAACUCAGUGAUGCAUUGGCUUGUGGCCAGUGCAGUGCCGCAGGGAAGCCGUUAAGUUUGCCGCCUGGGAAGUACGUACGCAAGUAUGAAACUUAAAGGAAUUGGCGGGGGAGCACCACAAGGGGUGAAG
rnacentral:rRNA from 1 species